UUUUUUUUUUUUUUGCUACAAUCGGGCCACUGGUGUUGCUGCAACCGGCAACCACAAAAGCUACAAACCUAAAUAUUGAGGAAGUUCAUAGCAAGGCUGUUUUCCCCUAAAUAUUGGAGAAGUUGGCUUAGAAUUUAUGGGCCCCUAAUUGAUUUUCGUAUUUCAGAAUAUCAUGAAGCCGUUUUUAGCCCAAAUUUCCUGAUAUCGGUUUUUUAUUGGGUAAUGGGGAUGGGAGCACCUUUUUUUUAGGGGGUGCGCCACUGUUUGGUCGGCCCAUUCAGCCAGCAGCGCAAGCAGCGAACGACGACUGUCGCGUGACGGUUAAUUGUAGCGACUUUGUCUAAAAAAAGUUAAAUGUAGCGACUUGGCACUGUAGUGGGCAGCAUAUUGUAGAUACCGUCGCACUGUACGACAGGUUUUCUGUGUUUUUUUCGAACACUUAAAAAAAUGAAUAGUUUGAAUGCCAAAAAUUGUCCCAAAAUUUAAGAAUUGUUCUCAAACUAAAUUUUUUUUUUGAAUUCAAUAAAUAUUCUCAAAUUCUAAAAACACGUAAAAAUAAUAUCAGUUGUUUUUGUGGUUGGGGAGAAAAGAUUUUUUGAAUCUGCGAACAUUUUUAUAAAUUUUGAAACUUUUUCGAAAGAAGAACACUUUUUUUUGAAAAAGCAAAUACUUUUUGAAACACCCAAACAUAUUUUGGAAUCACAAACAUGUUUUUGGGAACGCGGUUUUUAAAAAAAAGGAGGACUUUUUUUAAAAACAUGAACAAUUUUUAAUACAUCAAAAGUUGUUGAAAUCAGAUUUGUCUUUUGUUCUGAGAAAAGAGAAUAUAUUUUUGGACAUCUUUUAAAAAUGUGUAAAAAUAUCUUGUGGUUGUUUUAGAACAUUUAUGAAAAAAAUCGAACAAUUUUUAAAUAUUUUUGGCACUUUUAAAAAAAUAUCCAAAAAAACAUUCUGAGAAAAUAACAGAAAAAGAAAAAAUCGGAAAACUAGUAAAAGAAAGACAGAAACAAUAUAAAUGUAAAAAAUGUGAAAAAUAAAAAAAGAGAAAAAUGAUAGAAACCGGUGGAGGGAAAAACAGAAAAAAGUUUCUGGACCAGCCUCGGCCCAGCUGUUGGAAUAGUACGAUGUCUAGACAUCAUUUUACGUUGGCCAAUUUUUUUUGAAAAGGGUAGUUUUUGGCACAUGACAUGCCCCGGACACAACACACGGUCGUGCCAGUUGCUCGUGGACAUGUAAAUCUACUACUAGCAGCAAGAGCCCGACGAGCUAGCUAGUGUUUACAGCUCGAGAUUCAAAAAUGAAAUUACAAGAAUUGAAAACUUAACAGUUUUAAAAUCUCUUUAAUGAUGCUACCAACACACCAAUAGUCAGAAUGCAUGCCGUGUUCAAAACCAUGACCAUUAUCGCGUGACGAAUGUAAAUAGAAGUUUUCAACAUUUUGCCCAAAAGAAGCUCGGUGAUGGGGAAAUAACACUUUAUUGGGAGGAUUUCUGGAUUGAUGAGACUUCUCUCUUUUUUUCUUUUUCUUUUUUGAAAAGGAGGAUAAACCCCAGGCCUUUGCAUAAUCAAAUGAUGAGACUUCUCUAGCUGCUAAUCAUCAUAUUGUAUUAUGUAUGUUUUACCAAGCAGGUUAAUGUUGCUUUUGUUAAGUCUGAAGGGCAGGAUUGCUUGCAUUUUGCAAGAACAUUUGUGAGUGAAACUGAUGAGAUUGUUUUAAGGAUCGAAAUCUUUGGUGGAUAGCGACAUAGCGUUGCUCUAUUUGACAAUCCUGACAUAGUGCAUCGAAAAAUUGGCAACAAGCAAACUUUUAUUGUCAAGAUCUGUAUUUGCAACUUAAGGCUUCUGCCUUGGCUCACUACGGAGGGAUCUGGAAAGUUGAAAUGCCUCUAACUCUAAAGACCAAUAUCUUUCUAUGGCCAAUGAUAAAAAAUAGUGUCCUAACCAAACACAAUUUUCUUUGGAGGUGAUGGACCAGGAAUAGGCAAUGUUACUUUUUUGGCCACGAUGAAACUAUUAAGCAUAUUUUCUUUGAUUGUAAUUUGGCAAAGUUUUUCUUGAGGGUUGUCCUCGACGCUUUUGGUUUAGUCGGCCCCAUGAGGACGUUGAUGACCUGGUGGGCCCUGGCUAAAUAUCCUCCCGACUGAUCAUAGGAAGGUGGUCCUGGUUGGUGGGACAUCACUAUGUUGGACAAUCCGGAAAUCCAGAAAUUCUGCCUGUUUUGAUAAGAAAAUGCAUGACGAUCCCGUUGCAGUUGUUUUCGUUUCUGCCAUUAUCUCACUAGAUGGGCAAUACUGCAGACAAGCCAAAAUCGACUUAAAAUGGAUGAAGCAGUCUCGAAGAUCAAGAGGAUGAUGGUGGAGAUCUUCAACAGAGCGCAUGGAUGGACGCCUAUAGUACCUAGGAUUGAAAUGUUGUGAUCAGUUUGAUGGCCUUUGUUGCAUCCCCUCUCUUCGUCUGGGUCCAACUAUAAUAAGCUUCUGAGACUUUGAAGUGUGUGGUCACGUUGUGUUUGAAGUUUGGAAAUGAAAUGUCGUUUUCUUGUCUCUGAUCCUUACAUGGAGUCUGGCCCUGCGUGGUUACUUGCAGUUCUUCUUACAUCUAUUAGGUUCGUUGCCAGUCGGGUUGAACCUCGGGGGUUUUGAUACCUGCAUGUAUCUAAAUUUAUAGGGUAAUUUUUUUGGGUGAUUUUUGGCAUGGACAAUUUAUGAAAGACUAGCACAUAUGACCGUGCAUUGCAACGGGAGAAAAAAAUUGUGUGCAUUUAAAUUAACUGAGAACUAUACAUGCAAGCAAAACCAUAUGUGCAUGCCGAGAAGGAACAUUUAGGUUCUGGGUUUCGCCGCGUGUUCAAUCCGCUAUUUUUCCAUUCAUUCAUCGAGGGGGUUUGAGGAUUUUGUUAGGUCAACACACGCUAAAGAAGGCCCGCGAAUUAUUCAAUCUAUUUUUUCAUUCAUUCGAGGAAAUUUGAAGGUAUGAAGUUUCAUAAUAUGGAAGUGAGGCGGGCUGUCUCUUUUCCAUGUACAAGCCACUGAUAUAGUACAAACAGAGUUAAUUCUACUCCGCUAUUUUUCCGUUCAUGGGUCAAGAUGAUUUAAGGUGCGAAGUUUCAUAAUAUGUGUGUGAGUUGGGUCUUCUCUUUUCCAUGCAUCUAGCUCACAUAUUAGUGUCUUCUCUUCUCUUUUCCUCGGAUAGCAAUCCUAAAUGAAUUCAGGGUCUUUUGUAGCUAGUUCAUGCAGCACUCUAUCCAUCUAGCUCACAUACACGAUUUAAAAUCCCUUUUUACAGAAAUCUAGGGUCCUUUUCCAGCUAGCACACAUACCAAUGCAUUCAUACUUCGUCCAGCUUACUACAUGUAGUUUCGCCCACGUAUAUAAAUUAGUACGAGUGUAUGUAAAGGAGCAAUGUGAGACUAUUUAAAACAUUUUGGUUUAUUUCUCAGAUAGUUGGCAGCUAAGUUGUCUGGGUUGUGAAACGCCCACGCACCGAAACGACAUAUGUUUGUAGGACAUGGGUAAACAUCCAAAAAACGAGUUGAAGUAUCAAACUCACGACCGCAAAAAACCCAAUGUUGCCAACCACUCGAACGAACACGUCCUGCUAACCAAUGGCUAGCGGAAAUAUUUAAGAACAUACUAUAGUGUCAGAUUCAAAACAGUUUCUUCAUUUUAUUACUUUUUUUCAACUUAAAAAGUAAUAACUAAUAUGAAUUGUUGAAUAUUCUUAGAAACACGAACCGUUUUUUAAAUUUAUUUCUUGGAAACACGAACAAAAUUUAAAAUGGGAACAUUUUUUUAAAUCGCAAACAUUUUCUGAAAACAUGAACCUUUUAAAAACACGUACAAUUUUUGAAUUUGUGAACAGUUUUUGAAACGGGAACAUGUUUUCAACAUUCAGAAUAAUUUUAUAAAAUGUGUAUUUUUUAAACGCGGACACUAUUUUCAAUUUGUAACAUUUCAUUAAAACAAUAAUAUUUUUUCAAAGUCUCAAACAAUUUUGGGAAAUACAAACAUUUUUUGAAAAAUGGGAACAUUUUUUUCAUUUUGAAAAAAAUUCGGAACAAGAAAAAAAAUUAAAAUUCCAAACUUUUUUCAAAACAGCAACAAAAUUCUGGAAUUUGAAUAUUCUUUGAAAAAAAUUAAAAACUGAAAUCAUAUUUUUUUGAAUUUUUUUUAAUUUACAAAUGAAAAUAAUAAUACUUAGAAGAGAAAAAUAAAAAAACAGGAAAGAAAAGGAGAAAGGAACAUAUAAAGAAAAUAGAAGUAAAAUGGGCCGGGCCAGUCUUGGGCACCCUGCGAAGCUUUCUGUAUUUGCUGCCACGUGCAGCAAAUAGGAGUUUCCCAGCUACAUUGGCAGGAAAACAAGUGGCCUGCCUUCGCCUGGACAGAACACACGCGGUCUACACACGGAAUUCUGGACAAACCUUUUUUCCUUUUCUAGAAGAUGGGCACACAAAAAUUUAGUACGACCUCAGAUAGAAAAAAAUAUUUUCAAUGGUGAAUGGAUGAAAAAAAAUUCAAAGAAACGCACUUUGCUUUAUUAGUAGGUACUAGCAAACAUGCCCAUGCGUUGCAACGGGAGGAGAAAUCACAUGUCCUAGUCCAGUAGACAUGCCUCAAGACCUUCCUUCCUCAAAGCCACGUUCUCUAUUUUAACACGGUGACCCAUUGUAUCCCCACUUGCCUGCUUCAUUGUGUCAAGUUGAAACAAAAGGUGUCCCAAAGUAGGUGUUUACCUUUUUUGCAAAGCUUAGUAUAGAGAAUGCAAUACGUGCUUGUCCUGCUUGUUUCUUCUUUGUUGCAUCUUUGCAAAUGUAACAUUUGAUGCGUCUGCAUUGUUGCCUUACGAUGGAUGUUACCUGUUGUCGGGCCUUCUCUUCUCAAGUGUCAAUUGCGCAUCAAAAAACUUGGCCUUCUGGUUUUCGAGAAUUUCAUACUUCUGUGACCCCAUAUUAUCCAUAGACUGGCCACUUGUGCAUUGUUUUUCCUCUCUCGGUCGAUCUAAAGUUCAAAGUUUGGGUCCUCACACAGUAACUGUCUCCUUCACAUUGGAAUUGACAUAUAAUUCAAAUAUAGAAUAUGAUAGUUGCAGGCACACCUCGUUCAUAUGUAUGUGCACGUCACGGUUUCAGCACUUUGUUGCGGAAGGCGGCGGACGGCGGGACGGAGCGCUGGUGGUGGCAGACAGGAACCCUAGGCGUGAUUUAUUUCCUCGCAAGAGAAGGGAGGCGAGAGCAAAUCCAUGCAGUAGGAGUGAUAGGAAGGAGCGAGCUAUGAGUCGAAGUGAUUAAAUAUCCUGGAUGACUAACCAGCAUGCAAAAAAAAGUAAGAAAAACCAAAAACAAAAGAAACAAGAGUUGUCCCAUGGGUGCUGAGUACACCGCAAAGAAAGGUAGGAGAUGACCCGGCCGACCAUUCCCCCCGAAAAAAUGCUAACAUACAAGCGCACCAUUUUUUUAAGAAAACAUGCAAGUGCACUCAAGAGAAGAUGGACCGAUCACAGUGCCUGUGUUGACAAAAUUUGUUGGAUUUUCGUUUUUUUUAAAUGAAGAUGUGUUUUAUAUCAUCCUUGGUUAACCCUGGUCAUCCUAGCCCACUUACAUGGGCUGGGCUGCUACGAUUGCAAUUACAAUGAAGCUGAACGUGCAUGUUCUGGUGGGACGACGAUUCCUCCCAUCAUCGUUGCCAUCCUUCCUUUCACAUUUCCUUUAGCCAUAUCAUGCACGUUUUUUAAAGAAACUCCUGUGCAUGUCCAAUCCAUGUCACAUGAAUCCAUCCCCACACAAUUCCUUUUAAUUAAUUUAUUUUGUGAACUUUCGUUUUUAUAAUUGUUGACCCUUCCUUUAAUACACCCCACCAAUUCCUUUUAACUGUUGAUCCUUCCUUUAUAAUACACCCCACCAACACGUCCAAUCCUUGCCAUGUAAAUGUCCUUGAAAUCCAUCCUUCCUUCCUAAGAAGGCCACCCAAUUCCUUCUAAUUGUUCGAUGUUUCCUUUAAUAGAGUCCCACCAAGACAGCCCACAUAAUUUCUUUUAAUUGCCAAAAUGCAUCCUUCCUUUAAUGCCUCCAAGACAACCCACAAAUUAUCUUUUACUAGUAGAGUGCCCAUGCGUUGCCACGGGCUCUUGAAAUAGUAUGCAAGUGUUACAUGUUAAAAUUCACAUGUACAAAAAAUAUAACACAAACACAAUUAUUGAAUAAUUGAAGUCUAUUUUUGCAAUGUAAAUUGAUAACAAAAAGAAAGAUUAACGACAUGUCCAUGUAACAAACUGAGUGAUGUUUCAACUAAACAUCUUUUACAAAACUAUCAAUAUCUAGAUGAUGCGCUUAAGAAAUUCUUUCACAAUGUCAGGAAAAUUGCCUUUAGCUUCAUUUCCCACGAUGUUUUAGCAAGUAUGAUAAAAACCGCUUCCUCAAAUCAUACCCAUCCUGCACAAACAAUAUAUGUAGUUAGUAUGAAAAUUUCACGCCUUAGGUCUCAAAACAUGUAACGGAUGCGUUGCCACUGGCAUUUCAAAAAAAAUACUGGUUGCAUAUAUAAUCAUAAGGCAUGUCAAUUUUCCAGCUUGGCAUAGAAAGUGAGUCUAAAAUAGUUGCUUAGUUAUUCUGAUAAUCUUGCUUAUACAAUUAUGAUAGUUACGAUAAUCACCUAGGAGUUUCAAUUUUUGAAAGGAAAAAACAACAACAAUCAUUAGGCCCUUAAGAAAUCACGACAUGAGUUCUGAAUCUGACCAGCUACAAGAUAUAUCCUUCCUAAUAUUCAGAUCUAGUGGGAAAAACUACUACCCAACAAUAUACAUACAAUAUAAACUACUACUCAAAUUUGCACUAACAGAAUAGCCAGCUUCUUGAUUUGAGCUCCACGGAGUUUGCUCGUUCGGCUCAACUUCACUGCGGAGUUAAUGGAAGUUGAGAGCCGGAGCAUUGCCGAACAGGCCCUUAGUACAAACUGUUGCCAAACUUGAGAGCAUCAGAGUCAUAAGGUUCAUAACUGAAAGUCAAUAUAACAUGUUAGUUGCAACCUUAUUUGGUUUCACCAUAUCUGAACAUACACAUGCACUUGCUCUCUUUUUGCACCAUGGCACAAAAUUUGUGAUACAAGCAAAAGGAGUUCGCUUCCAUGGUUUUGUUCUGGCGCCAUUCUCAAUGCGCCGUUCAUUCACACGCAAUGGAAUUAUCUAUACCAUUAUAUAUGUAC
rnacentral:lncRNA from 1 species